GUCGAUGACCCAUUAAUUCAGGGAAUUCAUAAUUUAUUUUUCAUUUAAAAAAAAUUCGGCAAAGGAGACUGAAUAAUUUAACAUCAAUUAGUAACCAUAAGAAGUAAUAGCAUCGCAACACAUAAUCCCCAAUCGAAGAGAUUCAAUCAUUCAAAAAGUGAAAUUCAUAUAUAAAAUCCAAGCAAACAAACACCCCUACAUCGUUUUUACAUCAAAAUAAGUACUACAAACGGAAAAUUAGACAUAAAUAAUCAGCCCUUCCUCCACGAAUUUCCUAAAUAAUAGAGAUGGAUCAGCGUCUGAUGUGCUUAACCCUGAACCAGCCCUUCUUCCACGAAUUUCCGACGAUCCUCACUCCUUUGUUCACCAAGUGUUUCAGCUCCCUCACCUUGUUCCCCAACCCUGCCAUUCUUUCUUUCUACUUUCUAGAGAGAGAAACCACCUCAAGUUUUAGAGAGAGAGAAAGAGAGCAGCAGAGAGAAAGAGAGUAGAGAGAAUGGUUUGGUUUCGCGGGGUUUUAUGGGGGAACCAUGGCGGUGCUGCUGCUGUUAGAAGAGGAGGUGCUGUUAUUGUGUGUUGGCACGUCUCUUUUGAGAAGGGAGCCGCGUCGGAUCCAACACGCGUCAUUACGUGGCGGAAAUCCAACGGAGAAUGGUUUAAUCGUGUCAAUGCGUGAUUAGCCGACGUUCAUUGCGGGAUAAGAAUAAGGAUGAACUGGCAUGUGACAUAUGCGGCUUUAAUAAAUUGUAAAAGAUUUGUUGAAUACCUAAAAGAAACAUGGUUUCAUUAUAUUUCAAUACUUCGUAUAAACACACUUACUUAAACAAAAUAUAAUAGAUUUAUUUAAAUCCGCCUGGACACCGCUAAACGUUAAGCUGUAGCUCGCCACCGAUUAGCGCCUAGUGUGUGUUUUAGAACCAUGGCCUCCUCUGAUGUGCUUAACCCUGAACCAGCCCUUCCUCCACGAAUUUCCGACGACCCUCACUCCUCUGUUCACAAUGUGUUUCAGCUCCCUCACCUUGUUCCCCAACCCUGCCAUUCUUUCUACUUGGAGAGAGAAACCACCUAAAAGUUUUAGAGUGAGAAAGAGAGCGGAGAGAAAGAGAGUAGAGAGAAAGGUUUGGUUUCGCGGGGUUUUAUGGGGGAACAAUGGCGGUGCUGCUGCGGUUAGAAGAGGAGGUGCUGUAAUUGUGUGUUGGUCACGUCUCUUUUGAAAAGGGGGCCGCCUCGGAUCCAACUCACGCAUCACACGUGGCGGAAAUCCAACGGAGAUGGUUUAAUCGUAAUCAAUGCGUGAUUAGCCGACGUUAAUUGCAGGGUAAGAAUAAGGAUGACUUUAUUUUAUUAUAUGGGACCACAACCGUUUGUAAUUUAUUUGGAGUUUUAGUCGACACGAAGUGGUGGGUCUUGAGUAAGGUAUAAAAUAAUGAUGAUAUCGAAAAUAUCGGUAGUUCAAAAACACGGAAAUUUGAAUGAAAAUAUCGGAAUAUUAUCGAUAUUGAUAAAAAUUGAAUUAAAACCACGGAAAUUGUAAGAAAAACUUGGAAAUUUUUAUUGAAACUUUGCAGGAUGUUUAUUUAGUCAAUUAUCUAUUAGUUUAUCACAAAAAAAUGGAAGGAAAUGCAUUGCAUGAUAGAUAUAACUGAUUUAAGUUGAUUAUAUAGCGAGCUGACAAACAUUGUGAGUGUAGAAAAUAUGUAAUAAUUAAUGAAAAAAGUUUAAACACACCAUAAUCAUUUAUAUAUAAUGAAUUAGUACAAUAUUUUAUACUUUAUACAUUGCAUGGUAAGAUACAUGAGUGACUUAGCAAGGUCUAAAAUAUCGAUGAUAUCGGAAAUAUCGGUAGUCUAAAAACACGGAAAUUUCGAUGGAAAUAUCGGGAUAUUAUGGAUAUUUUAGACCAUGACUCUUGAGUUGCUCAUAAGUUUCGAAUCGUUGCUACAGUACGGUGUCCAAUUCAAAAUGGAGAUGGAUUGUCUACCCUCCCAUCUCAUGCCCUUCUCAUUCCCUCAUAUUUUCUGUGGUCACGGUUAAGCCACGUUAACAUUUUAUAUUGAUUUUUUUUAUAGAAAUAAUAAGACAAAAAGUAAUGAGAAUAUAAAAUGUUGACGUGGCUUAAUCGUGACCACAAAAAUAGAAGAUGAUGAGAAGGGCAUCAAAUGGGGAGGGGAGACAAUUCAUCUCCAUUCAAAAUAACUUGAUGAAGUUGUAGGCCAUGAUCAAAAAAGAAAAAGAAAAAAUACAUUUAAUCUAAAUUAGUUUUUCUUAAUUAAAAAUAAUUAAACAUGGGCAUGUUCCAACUUUGAGAAAAUAAAAAUUGUUACAAGUUAAAUACUUAAUGCUACAUUGAGUAGAACCAAGUGAAGGUGGUGGGUGAAUCUGGUGGUGGGUUAUAGUAGUUAGAUUUCUUUCUUUUUAAUUCUUUACGUUAUGAAUUCAAACUUUUUUCUUUUCCCUUUAUGAUGCGAUUGAUACGCAAAAAAGAGUUUGUGGGAAUAAUUUUCCAUGACUUUUCCUAAGGCAUGAAAAAUACAUUUCUCCAUUUUCACAUUUGGUGAAGUUGGAAAAUGAAAUAG
rnacentral:lncRNA from 1 species